GGGCCUUGCAGGAUUUCUGGGAUAGAAGAGGGGCUCUGCUGACCAUAUGAGAGCACAUCGAAGGGUGUCUUAUUGGACCCCAGACUCCUCUGAGUUCCCUUCUUUGCAAAGUUGCCAGAUAAUAUAUGACACCAGUUCAAUUUGAACUUCAGAUAAACAAUACUUUUUAGUAUGUCUUCAACAUCGCAAAUAUUGCAUGGGAGAACUUAUUUGCUAAAUCUAGCAGCCCGAUUUCAAAACAUCUUAAAUGAGAAUUUGAGAGGUACAUGCAUACAGUGGCUGUUGACUGGAACUGUGAGAAACCCAUCUGUAAGCACAUCACCCUCCCACCGCCAUGCUGUUGAAGGUUUAUCCUGGGAUCCCAUCACCAUUCAUUUUAUGAGUUUCUAGUGCAGCGGACAUAAAUUUGUGUCCAAACCCAGGAUCACAUCCAAGAUACCACAUUAUGUUACAUUUAGCUGUCAUGUCUUCGUAGGCUCCUCUUGGCUGACCGUGUCUGAAGCUUUACUUGUUUUUGAUGUCUGACCGUUUUGAGGAAUAUGGGAAAGACAACAGCAUGCCGUGAGGACACUCAGCGGUGGGGGGAGGAGUGCACGGCCAGGAAGCGCCAGUGUCAGGAGGUGGAGGCACCCACAGGGUCCCAUAAGGAUUAAAGAGUUCCUUUCUCAGGGACACCCUGAUGCUGAGAAAACCUGCAGUAAGCUCCAAGGUGGUGGAUGCUGCCAACUGGGCUCAGGUUACAGUGCCUGAGGCACCCGGAGCACCUGCUUGAGCUGCAGUCUUCUAAGAACUCCAUGCAAUAACACAGGCACCCAGCGAGCCUCAGCGAAGGGAAAAUAACUCGUUUUCCUAAGAAUGCACAGAGAUGCCCCACCAAUGUUGGUCAGUCUGGGACUUUGACACUCACCACAGUCCUGCCUGCCCCUCCAUGAUGCGUCACCAGACAGAACAUGGAUCGGAGGAACUGAUGGAAGCGCGAGAAGAAUCCCUCUCCCAGUCACUAACCUCUCCACCUCAGUUUUCCAUUCAUCAAACACACAGUAGCAACAGUACUUAUGGCAUCUACUGCUGUGAGGAUUAAAGGAGAUAAUAAAUAGCGUAUGUUGGGAACAGUGCCUAGUACAUAGUAACCCUCAAUGAAUGUUGA